UACGGAGGAUGCGAGCGUUAUCCGGAUUCAUUGGGUUUAAAGGGUGCGUAGGCGGGCUGUUAAGUCAGCGGUAAAAGCCCGGGGCUCAACCCCGGCGAGCCGUUGAAACUGGCUGUCUUGAGAUGUCGAGAGGUAUGCGGAAUGCGCAGUGUAGCGGUGAAAUGCUUAGAUAUUGCGCAGAACUCCGAUUGCGAAGGCAGCAUACCGGCGGCGAUCUGACGCUGAGGCACGAAAGCGUGGGUAUCGAACAGG
rnacentral:rRNA from 1 species